CAUACUUAACACAUGCAAGUUGAACGCAGGAUAGGACUUCGGUUCUAUUGCUGAGUAGCAAACGGGUGAGUAACGAGUGGGAAUCCACCUUUUUGUGGGGGAUAACUGAGGGAAACUUCAGCUAAUACCGCAUAAGCUCUACGGAGGAAAGGCUUCGGCCGCAAGAAGAGGAGCCCGCGUCAGAUUAGGUAGUUGGUAGGGUAAACGCCUAGCAAGCCAAUGAUCUGUAGCUGUUCUGAGAGGAUGAGCAGCAACACUGGGACUGAGACACGGCCCAGACCCCUACGGGAGGCAGCAGUGGGGAAUAUUGGACAAUGGGGGAAACCCUGAGCGAGCAAUGCCGCGUGAAUGAAGAAGGCCUUAGGGUUGUAAAGUUCUUUCACCUGUGAAGAUUAUGACGGUAGCAGGUUAAGAAGCCCCGGCUAACUACGUGCCAGCCGCCGCAGUAA
rnacentral:rRNA from 1 species